rnacentral:snRNA from 1 species
AUGUUCACUUAAGCAGCACAUAUACUGAAAGUGGAGUGAUACAGAGAUUAACGUGGCCAUGCACAAGGAUGACAUGCAAAUUCCUGAAGUGUUACAUAUGUUA